rnacentral:rRNA from 1 species
AUGCUAUUAAAAAAUCGGUCGAAGAUCUUGAAAAAUUCAAGUGGCCUAUCGAGAACUUGGCUCUUCUUCAGGUACAAGAAAUUUGUAAUAGUUGUAUGUACAUAUUAUAUAUACUGGGAAAAAGUUGAGCCAAUUGGUGUGGAUACAUUUGAUCCUUUGUCUCGUGAAUACCCACUAAUGGUUAACUGGCCAGAAACGGAAGGGAAAAAGAGAGACGACUAUGACAACAUGCACGGGCGUGGCACCGGCAAUCUUGAAAAUUGCGUUAGCCAAGAGUACAGACGUGCUAAGGUAGCACGUGAAGGGACUGUCCCAGAUGAAGAAACGAAGAAAACUAAACGGAAAGGUGGUGGCAGGAGUAGAAAGCCAAGCACGUCAGGGGUUUCAUCGAACACGACUAACAGUAUGGACCGUGUGAUGACAUACAUAAAGCUGCUUCACAAGGAGGUUCUCAAUAUACCCGAAAGAUGUGCACUGAUGGUAAUGGAAAAGUUGAACACGGAAGGUGUGCUGUACAAACCCAAUAAGAGGUACAACAAUGAUGAAUUUGUUAAUGUACGUCAAGGAGUUGGGAUGGAGAAUGGCCAGUACAAGUCAUCAAAAUAUUGGCCAGAUAUUGAUUCACCUACCUACGUGGAGCUAGUAACAUCUUUCACGUGUUUCAAUGAUACGGACGUGCCCGUUGAUGACACGGGUGCUUCGACGACGACACCGGGUAAAGGUGACGCUACUGAUCCUUUCAUUAUACACGAUAAUGAAAAGUCCCCAUGUUCAUCAUCAACUGUACGUACAAAAGAGUUUCCGUCUAUGUCCCGAACCCCGUAG